rnacentral:rRNA from 1 species
CACAGUCGAGCGGACAGAUGGGAGCUCUGCUCCCUGAUGUUAGCGGCGGACGGGUGAGUAACACGUGGGUAACCUGCCUGUAAGACUGGGAUAACUCCGGGAAACCGGGGCUAAUACCGGAUGGUUGUUUGAACCGCAUGGUUCAAACAUAAAAGGUGGCUUCGGCUACCACUUACAGAUGGACCCGCGGCGCAUUAGUUAGUUGGGGAGGUAACGGCUCACCAAGGCAACGAUGCGUAGCCGACCUGAAAGGGUGAUCGGCCACACUGGGACUGAGACACGGCCCAAACUCCUACGGGAGGCAGCAGUAGGAAAUCUUCCGCAAUGAACGAAAGUCUGACGGAGCAACGCCGCGUGAGUGAUGAAGGUUUUCGGAUCGUAAAGUUUUGUUGUUAGGGAAAAACAAGUACCGUUCAAAUAGGGGGGUACCUUGACGGACCCUACCCA